AUUGAACGCUGGCGGCAUGCUUUACACAUGCAAGUCGGACGGCAGCAUAGAAGAGCUUGCUCUUUUGAUGGCGAGUGGCGAACGGGUGAGUAAUGCAUCGGAACGUACCGAGUAGUGGGGGAUAACUGUCCGAAAGGAUGGCUAAUACCGCAUAUUCUCUGAGGAGGAAAGCAGGGGACCUUAGGGCCUUGCGCUAUUUGAGCGGCCGAUGUCUGAUUAGCUAGUUGGUGGGGUAAGAGCCCACCAAGGCGACGAUCAGUAGCGGGUCUGAGAGGAUGAUCCGCCACACUGGGACUGAGACACGGCCCAGACUCCUACGGGAGGCGGCAGUGGGGAAUUUUGGACAAUGGGCGCAAGCCUGAUCCAGCCAUGCCGCGUGUAUGAAGAAGGCCUUCGGGUUGUAAAGUACUUUUGUCAGGGAAGAAAAGCCUGGGGAUAACACCCUCAGGUCAUGACGGUACCUGAAGAAUAAGCACCGGCUAACUACGUGCCAGCAGCCGCGGUAAUACGUAGGGUGCGAGCGUUAAUCGGAAUUACUGGGCGUAAAGCGAGCGCAGACGGUUAUUUAAGCAAGAUGUGAAAGCCCCGGGCUCAACCUGGGAACUGCGUUUUGAACUGGGUAACUAGAGUGUGUCAGAGGGGGGUAGAAUUCCACGUGUAGCAGUGAAAUGCGUAGAGAUGUGGAGGAAUACCGAUGGCGAAGGCAGCCCCCUGGGAUAACACUGACGUUCAUGCUCGAAAGCGUGGGUAGCAAACAGG
rnacentral:rRNA from 1 species